rnacentral:tRNA from 1 species
AUUAAUUUAGUAUAUAAGUAUAUUUAGCUUCCAACUAAAAGGAUUAGAGAUUAAAAUUAAUA